rnacentral:lncRNA from 1 species
CCUCAGGUGAUCCGCCCGCCUCGGCCUCCCAAAGUGCUGGGAUUACAGGCGUGAGCCACCGCGCCUGGCCUCUGUCCCUUUUAAAUGGUGCAUCUGAUCAUCACUUGCUCACCCCACCAGCAGGUCCCAGAGGGACACAGCACCUGAGCAAGCUCUGGAGGUGGUCCUGUCCCUCUUGCUGAAAAGGCAAGGGCUCACUCAGGGAGGGCAGGUGGUGAGCUUCCAGCCCAGCCCUGGACUGCAGGGCAUUGCUAGCAAGCACAGCCAGUGAGGAGACGAGGCUUGAGAGGCUAGGCACCUUGGCCAAGUCACACAGCGGACAUGGGCUGCGCCAGGAUUUGAAGCAGAUCUGCCCUCUUACAAAGACUGUGGGAACCCUUCCCUACCUUGCUGCCUCUCGUGAAUUAACAAAAACGUUCAUCAAUCGUAGUCUCAUUUUCAAAGACCAGGCCAGAAGAUACUGACUGAACAAUUUACUUAGAUUUAUCAAAUGACUUAAUGAAAUAUUUUUAGAUUAUGAUGGAUCCCAUAGUGCUCACUGCCUACCAGGCAUUCAAGUAGAACAUGUGUAUGUGGCUCAUUCAUUCAUCAAGAACCUGUGCACUGCUUUAAAUGCUGAAGAGUCAGCAGUGAGCAAAUCAGGCAGGAAUUCCGGUCUUCAUGGAGCUUACAUUCGUCAGGAGGUCGGGGCAAGGUUGGUAGGGGAGACAGAAAUAAAUAAAUAGUUAUACGGGGCAUCAGAUGAUGGUUAUGGCUGUGGAGACAAGUGAAACGGAAGGCGCAUGGGAAGUGGGAGGAGGAGGUGGUAACGAUUUUAAAUGGAGUAGUCAGGAUGGACUCACCGAGAGGAUCACAUUUGAGAGGGGUCAAACCGUGGAGGAUUCCCAGUGGGGGAACAGCUGGAGCAAAGGUCCUGAGGCAAGAGAGUGCCUGGCACGUUCCCAAAACAGCACGGAGGCCAAUAGGGCUGGAGCAGUGAACGAGGAGGUUGGAGACCCAGGAAAGCUGGUGAUGUAAUUCAGUUUGAAUCUGAAGGCCUGAGAUCAAGAGGAGGUGAUGAUGUAACUCCCAGUCCAAGGCGAAACGCAGGGGAACCUGGAGUUCUGAUGUCUGAGGGCAGGAGAUGAUGGAUGUCCUGGCUCCAGAAGAGAGAGUGAAUUCACUUUUCUUCUGCCUUUUUGUUCCAUCCAGGCCCUCAAUAGACUGGAUGGUGUCCACUUAUAUUGGAUGAGGGGGGAUCAUCUUUACUCAGUCUACUGAUUCAAAUGGUGAUCUCUUCCCAAAACACCCUCACAGACACACCCAAAAAUCAUGCCCUUACCAGCUAUCUCGGUGUCCCUUCAUUCAGUUAAGAGUACACCUAAAACUAACCAUCACACUGGAAAAGAUGUAUGUAUAUAUAUUAAUUUUUUCCCCUCAUAGUCUCCUUCUGUUUUAUAAAGAGCCUGGUUGCUGAUGGUUCCAUUUAACAAUACAGUCCCCACAUUUCAGAACACCAAAUGGGAUCACAGGAAAGGAGCGGCAAUUACCAGCAGAUCCUGGAUUUGGAGCCAGAUGCAGUCAGUGAUGAGAAAUUACAGUGUCCCCUUUUGGGAAGAGGAUGAAUACGUUUUUAUUUAUUAUGAGGAAGGUUGUUAAUCAAUAGCAUUUUGUUGUUCCUGUUGUAUGGAAGAGGGUGUAUGCUGUUGUUGGGCUGUGAAGGGCUAGAUUGUGGGGCAUGUUUGUUAUACUUUGUGGCCACCCAGCAUGUUUGCAAAGCCUUUUUCUGAUUGGGAAUGAAGUACAUAGGGCAUUCCACCUACCCAACAUAGAAAACACAACUUGCUUCCCCAGCCUCCCUUGCAGCUAGUGAAGUAGGAGGUUGGACUCAACUCUGGAGGCGGGGCUUGGACACCAGACCUAAUGAGGACUAGCUGAAACAGGGAUGGAGUGGAAGCAGCAGCUUUGCAUAAGACAUGCCCACAAGUGUGCCAUGUCAGUUUACCAUUGCCAUGGCAACACCUGAAAGUUACUGCCCCUUUCUAUGGAAGAUACCAACCUUUUCCUAGAAAUUUCUGCAUAAUCCCCCCUUAAUUUGCAUGUAAGUCAAAGUGGGUAUAAGUAUGACUGCAGUCCUGCCUCGGAGCUGCUAUUCUGGGAACACUGCCUAUAGGGUAGCGCUGUUCCACAGUACCAGUACCUCUGCUGCUGCUUCACUAAAAGUCGCUAACACCUCCGGCUCACCCUUGAAUUCUUUCCUAGGUGAAGCCAAGAACUCUCCCAGGCUAAGCCCCAAUUUUGAGACUCGCCUGUCCUGCAUCACUAGGGCAUAAACGUGACAGAUCUGACACUUAGACACACCCACAUAAGACUGAUUCAGGUCCCAAGGCUGUCAUCUGUGGUGGCAGGAGGUUCAUCCCAUCUGCAGCCAGUGGAACCUUAGGAGGCAGUGCUCCUCUAUUUUAUUGCUGACCCUCCAGAGACUUUAGAAAGCAGCUCUACAGGCUGGAUACCUCUCAACCUGACCUCUGGAGACUGCAAGGCCCAAGUGUAGGAAAGGAUAUGGCUACUCACCUAUCUUUUUUUUUUCUUUGAGACAGAAUCUUGCUCUGUCACCUAGGCUGGAGUGC